UGUGAGACUUGUCUGCUUCCCCUUCAACUUCCACCAUGAUUGAAAGUUUCCUGAGGUCUCCCCAGCCAUGCUUCCUGUCCAUCCUAUGGAGCUUAACAUGGAUGGAACUGGAAGCCAUUAUCAUAAGUGAAAUAACUCAGAAAGUCAAAUACUGGAUGCUUUCAUUUAUAGGGAAAAUACGGAACUCUAAUUUCAGGUGAAGGGAUUUCAGCUGGUUAGUAACUCAGUGACCCACUCAGAAGAGAGAACACCCUCUCCUCUCCCUCCUGACAAACCAA